GAUGUCAACUAGCCGUUGGAAUCCUUGAGAUUUUAGUGGCGCAGCUAACGCAUUAAGUUGACCGCCUGGGGAGUACGGCCGCAAGGUUAAACUCAAAUGAAGUUGACGGGGGCCCGCACAAGCGGUGGAGCAUGUGGUUUAAUUCGAAGCAACGCGAAGAACCUUACCAGGCCUUGACAUGCAGAGAACUUUCCAGAGAUGGUUGGUGCCUUCGGGAACUCUGACACAGGUGCUGCAUGGCUGUCGUCAG
rnacentral:rRNA from 1 species